GGUGCACCCUCCUUACUUGCUUCUCCUCGUCGGUCCUCGUUUGUCCUGCUGAGACUCACUGGAGAACACAGUCACCCCAAUUAAAUAAAUAGGGACACAUGUCACGAUAAUCGGCGGCACUCACUGCACGCGCUAAUGGCAAGGGAGCAACACGUCGGACGUGCUUCAAACAGGCGUUUUCACUCGCGGCUCGCGUGCAAUUGCACAAGUGGAUGUUGUACGCAAUUUGUUAGGAAGCCAAGCGCGCACGGGGCCGCCCGAGAGACUGAGCCAGGCGAAGCUGUCUGUAGCAGCGAAGCAAAAGCUAGUCGCGAGGUCCCCACUUCCUCCACGCGGGUCUCCGCUUCUGUGUUUUGGCUCCUGCCAGUGAAGAGGAUCUUCACGCCCUCGCCAACGUCUUCCGCGCCACUCCUAUUCCUUCCUCGUGCUUCUUGGCUCUCACACGGCUACGCAGAGGAGGACUGGCCUCGCGAGGCGUCGACGGGAACCUUCUUCUGGUACCGACGGAUAAUACUUGAUCAGCCUCGGAUGUUACCACUUUUUUGGCAACCCAGCACGAACCACCUGACGUCAACCCUUUCCUCGAUACUUGUCAACCAGUUCUUUGCGCGAAUUGACGAAUUAUUCUUUCAAGUCCUGAGCUUGCUCUCGGUAUCUUCUCUUACUCUUCUCUUUCUCAUUGCUUUACAUCGAUGAUUUUAUUGGUGCUUUUUUCAUGCAUUUUUUUGGAUACUUUUCUUCUUAAUACGAUUACUCGUUGAGGCGUUACAGUCGGAGUCACAUGUGUGACGUAUUAAUUUUUACACGGAUUUUUUUUACAUUGUUUACGUUUCUUUUGACAAACGUCAAAAGAUAACAAAUGCUAUUCCUAACAGUCACGUGAUGUCUCAAUUUUUUGACGGAAUCUCGUUACCACUGCGAAUCUUGUUUUAUAUGAAAUUUAAAAAAUUCUUAAAGUCACACUCACUCCGUCAUCUCCAAUGCAUUGCUUCUAAUCUUCUUAUUUUAUUUACUCCGCAGAUUUGCAUACAAAAACGAUCAAUAAACGCCGUUGGAGAUGGAUAAGGAAAAAAGAAAACAAGACUGGAUGAUAGAAAAAUUUGUUCCAGAAUAAUGGGAACGGUGCAAUCAAUGAUUGUCUUAAAGCGCGUCUUUCGAGGGCGGGAAAAUUCAAAAGUUUUUCCCAAGACAGUUACAGUGUCACCCUUGCUCUCGUCCCGUACUGGAAUCGUAGUUUACAGGAUUGGCGUUCGUCUAGUCCAAGUAGAAAUGUAAUAGGUGGAUGCACCACGGGUUCACCUCUCUUUUAUACCGUCGACGACAAAGUGGUACCGCCCCCUGGCGCGUGAGGAUCGCCUCGGCACCGGACCUACGGGGAUGAUGCUAUAUCUACUGUUGCCUACUCUCGGCAACACACCCCUUCGUCUACCCCCACCACCACUUCUAAUACCCUUCCUUGCACCGAGAUGCAUUUCACCGACGCAAUCAGAAUAUGCCGGCUACACGUUCUGUCCCUCCUAGAAGCAUGAGCCCAUGUACAUAUAUAAGCAAGCAUAAAAAAAAUAUGAUCUACCCCCUAGACACAGGAUACAAAAACAAAUUUACAUCGUUAGAUGAAAACGUAUCUUAGUCUCUAAUUUACUUUUAAAAAGCUGCUAUUUUUAUAUUUUUAUAAAUUUUCAUAUCAAUGUAUUUAUUAUACAUACGUGUACUAUAAUGUAAUCGGCCAUUUCCGUCGGCACUUCGUGCUUCCUCGUGCCGUGUAAUCCAAGUCGGUCCAAUGCUUUACCGACAACUUGUUGGUUCUUGGUUCACGAUUAGUGUGCGCUUGUAGGUGUUAAGUGCUCCGGGUAGUAGGAAUAGUAGUAGUGGUAUUAGUAGCAGCAGCAGCAGCAGCAGCAGUAGUAGUAAUGAUACUAGUAUCUGUUGUCAACAGAUACUCGUCGAUCGAUUAUACUUAAAAACAUUAUUUUGGAAUUUUUAGGGAAUUGAUUUUUUUUCUCUUCACUGUAACUAUUGACCUUAAUUAACUUUGCGUAAUAGCAUCUACGUAAUUAUAUUUGCUCAUAUGGACUUGUAUGGCUGUAUACUGUUUACGUAUUGCUAAAUAUAUUUAUGGACAGUCAUUUAAAAUCUGCAGUAUCACGUAGGAUUAACGCGCUUGUAUGUAUUAAGUGAUUGAUAAUCGUAACUGUUUUACCGACGGAGGAAUACGAGAAUAUUAACGUUUCCUGCGACGUUAACGCC